rnacentral:rRNA from 1 species
GACGAACGCUGGCGGCGUGCUUAACACAUGCAAGUCGAGCGGUAAGGCUCCUUCGGGCGUACACGAGCGGCGCACGGGUGCGUAACACGUGAGUAAUCUGCCCUUCACUUCGGGAUAACCACCGGAAACGGUGGCUAAUACCGAAUACGACCAGUCUUCGCAUGAGGUGCUGGUGGAAAGUCUUUUCGGUGAAGGAUGUGCUCGCGGCCUAUCAGCUUGUUGGUGGGGUAAUGGCCUACCAAGGCUUCGACGGGUAGCCGGCCUGAGAGGGUGACCGGCCACACUGGGACUGAGACACGGCCCAGACUCCUACGGGAGGCAGCAGUGGGGAAUAUUGGACAAUGGGCGAAAGCCUGAUCCAGCAACGCCGCGUGAGGGAUGACGGCCUUCGGGUUGUAAACCUCUUUCAGUACCGACGAAGCGCCCUGUCGGGUGGUGACGGUAGGUACAGAAGAAGGACCGGCCAACUACGUG